GGAUGGAUCAGUUCUCCCAAGCUACUUUGCUUACUCACAUGGGAAAAGCAAGAGCUGGCAGAUCAAAAAGCGACUUGAGAACAUAUUGCAAGUCUCUUCAGGUGUGAAAGAAUUGGCUGUCUACAGAGACAUUUCCCAGAGGACACCCAGAUGUGUUGCUGGGAGGCUUCUCUCAUGUCCCCGUAAGCCAGAGCUGACAGAUGGAAGCUCGCCCCAUCUUGCGGAUUCAAACCGGCAACCUUCAGUUAACCAGAGAGGAAAGAAGAGAAGGAAUGAAAGGAACAAGUUGAAAACAAAACAGCAUCCCUAUAAAAUCAUGUCCAAAAGGACAGGCGGAGAAGAUGUUGAAAUUAUUCACAACCCAAUUUUUUUCUUCUAGGCUUCCCUCCGUUCCUUUCUGUUUAAUCAGGCCUUGAAAAGUAAUUUUUUUAUGGCAGUUUCCAGAAUCUAGCCAUCCAGCAUAACCAUUGCCAUAUUGGCUGGGGAUUGUUGACCCCCCCCAAAUAAUUUCUCAAACUGUUUAUUUUAUACUCACGAAUGCCAAUUCAGAUUGAAUGACAGAAUGAACCAAGAUAUAGGAAAAUAUUUUAUUAUUAUUUUAUUGUUGUUAUUAUUGUUGUUGUUGUAAACAUAAGUAAAAUGAUACAACUAUCAAUAACUAUUCCACAAGGUUAAAUAAAACAAACAAAUAAUGAUAUUCC
rnacentral:lncRNA from 11 species